AUUUAUUGUUUGCUGUUUAUCAUCUUAUUAUGGCCAUUUACCAGUCCAAGGUGCUUUGAUACAAACAAUAUUUUCUUAGGGCUUCAAGUGAUAAAAAGGGAAAGUUUUGUUGAUACACUAUUCGUAAGCUCAGGUGUAGUAUGUUAUAUUUGUCUCUUGACUGAGAGAGUAAUUUUAAUUGUGCAAGAUAUUCAUCAGAGAAAACACAAACGACUUCUUGCUGUGUGCAUAAUUUUGCUGAUUUGUGAAUACCUUACCUAUGAUUUUUUGGAACAUUUUGUUGAAGGUAUUGUGCAAACAGGUAACGGAAAUGCCAUAUUGCAGAUCGUAAUACACAUUCUCAUGUAUGUCGUUACGUUUGAAAUAUUCAACAUAUCCCACUUUGAAUUUGGAAUAAUUGUAUACAUUUAUCUUUGUAUAACUUACUACUUCAUUUCACCAAUUCCAUAUUUCUUUUGCGCUAUAAUACUUGCAAUCCCUAUAGGCUUCAAAUUCAAAAUGGACAACAAUCGUCUGAAUUUCACAAUGAACUUUGGCAGCAUUCUUUUCCAAAGAAUAAAAACUGUUGUUGAUAAACUUUGGAGAGAUAACCAAAGAUUUAAAGAAAUAGCUUUCAUAUUAUCCAUUUCUGUUUUACUCAAAAUUAAAGAUAUUCUAUUAUAAUACCGAUACAAGUAGUUUUUAACUGUUGAAAUUAACAGCAAGAAUGGGAAUCUUGAUAUUGAUAUCUUUAUAUUUUGUAAACGUAUCCUCAGUUUGGUUCUAUAGAGUGGGACAUAAGAUAAGGAAUAUAUAGAGCCAAACAGAGGACCUGUUAAAAAGAUAAUACAUCUACAUACAUGUACAACCGUAUUUGUUUCAUUUUUUAAAGCAAUGAAUCGAUACCUCUGGUAGUGGGAUAUUAGUCUCCGAGGGUGUCACCAGCUCAGUAGUCAGUUCUUCGGUACUGACAUAAUUUAUGACAACCUCUUUCUUGAAUGGCCCGUUUAUCAAGGUUUCAGCUGGGGUAGGCAAAAUUGACUGUUUAGGUUGUACUUUGUAAAUACAGCAGUUUCUCAAACCACACCUCUUUUGGGGAGAUAUAUAAUAUUCAUAGAUAUGUUAGUUUGUUAACGUACUGGUCCCAGAUAUGAUCUCUAUGUUUCAUCUCAUAGAGACAUCAUUUUGGAAUGUUACCAGUAUUGAAAAUCAUGGUAGUUUAAACUCGAACAAGUUCAGGGCAUAUAAAUGUGGAAUAUAUGCUGCACAGCCCUAUAUUUUGACCUUUGAAUAAAAUUGUAGUGCAUAUCAACUUUCCCUUCUGGCAUAAAAUUGUUCACGAAACUUUAUAGUAAAAGUGUCACAGUUGUAGCCGCACAAAUUUGUAACGAAGUAUUUGAUUAAAUCAAUUAUAUAUAUUCCUACGUUAUAUUGCUCUCACUAUUGAGUCAGACUAAGGAUCCGUUUGGAAAAUUGUAAACGUAACAAGAUUAAAAUUAGUCAUACUUAUACUAAUAAUAUAAUUAAAAUGAUAAUGAUUGUAAAUGUGAAAAGUUCAGUUACACUCGGUUAUAAACUUACGACCAAAUUGAACAAGAGGCAUAUCAAAUAUCAUAUGAUGAUGUCGGAAUUUUUCAAUUGUUUUUUUUUGUUAUCACCGAACUAGACAUAUGAAGACUUUGUUUAAACAGUGUUUUAAAUCCAGGUUUUCAUUUCAAAAGAAGUCAUAUUGGCAUAAUUAGAACCAAUAAUUCAAUUCGUUUUAAAUUAAUAACAAACA
rnacentral:lncRNA from 1 species